CAGCCGUAAACUAUGCGCGUUAGGCGUAUCGGUGACCACGAGUUACCGAGGUGCCGAAGGGAAACCGUGAAACGUGCCGCCUGGGAAGUACGGUCGCAAGGCUGAAACUUAAAGGAAUUGGCGGGGGGAGCACCACAACAGGUGGAGCCUGCGGUUUAAUUGGACUCAACGCCGGGAAGCUCACCGGAUAGGACAGCAGAAUGAUUGCCGGGCUGAAGACCCUGCAUGACUAGCUGAGAGGAGGUGCAUGGCGUAGACGUCU
rnacentral:rRNA from 1 species